AGGAAAGUUGAUAAGAGCGUAUGGUGGAUGCCUUGGCUCUCAGAGGCGAUGAAGGACGUGAUAAGCUGCGAUAAGCUUCGGGAAGGUGCAAAUAACCCCUGAUCCGAAGAUUUCCGAAUGGGGCAACCCUUACAGAUGAAGUCUGUAAAUCCCGCCGAAAGCGGGAAGCAAACCCAGUGAACUGAAACAUCUAAGUAACUGGAGGAAGAGAAAACAAAAGUGAUUCCCCUAGUAGUGGCGAGCGAACGGGGAGAAGCCUAAACCACAAUUGUUUCGGCAAAUGUGGGGUUGUAGGACUGGUAUCGUAAUUACAAUAUUAAGUGGAAGAUUCUGGAAAGAUUUCCCAUAGAAGGUGAUAGGCCUGUACACGUAAGUUAUUGUAAUUUAACCAGUAUCCUGAGUACCGCGGGACACGAGAAAUCCUGUGGGAAGCUACCGGGACCAUCCGGUAAGGCUAAAUACUCCUGAGAGACCGAUAGUGAACUAGUACUGUGAAGGAAAGGUGAAAAGAACCUCGAACAGAGGAGUGAAAUAGUACCUGAAACCAUGCGCUUACAACCGGUCGGAGUCCGCCUUUUGGCGGAUGACGGCGUGCCUUUUGCAUAAUGAGCCUACGAGUUACUCCUCUCUGGCAAGGUUAAUGACUUUAGGUCAGCAGCCGAAGCGAAAGCAAGUCUGAAUAGGGCGUUCAGUCAGAGGGGGUAGACGCGAAACUUUGUGAUCUACCCAUGACCAGGUUGAAGCCCCGAUAAAACGGGGUGGAGGACCGAACCGGUAAACGUUGAAAAGUUUUCGGAUGAGUUGUGGGUAGGGGUGAAAGGCUAAUCAAACUGAGAGAUAGCUCGUACUCCCCGAAAUGUUUUUAGGAACAGCCUCGAGGUCGAGUGUUACUGAGGUAGAGCUACUGAUUAGGCUAGGGGGCUUCACCGCCUACCAAACCUAGACAAACUCCGAAUGCGGUAACAUAUACUCGGGAGUGAGCCAUUGGGUGCUAAGGUCCAGUGACAAAAGGGAAACAACCCAGACCAUCAGCUAAGGUCCCCAAAUAUAUACUAAGUUGCAUUUAACGAAGUGCGACUGCAUUGACAGCUAGGAUGUUGGCUUGGAAGCAGCCAUUCAUUUAAAGAGUGCGUAACAGCUCACUAGUCGAGCGGUUGUGCGUGGAUAAUAAUCGGGCAUAAGUAUAUUACCGAAGCUAUGGAUUUUAUAGAAAUAUAAUCUGGUAGGGGAGCAUUCCAGCCGCGCUGAAGGUGUGUCGUGAGGCAUGCUGGAGCAUCUGGAAAAGAAAAUGUAGGCAUAAGUAACGAUAAAGAGGGCGGGAAACCCUCUCGCCGAUAGACUAAGGUUUCCUGAUCAACGCUAAUCGGAUCAGGGUUAGUCGGGGCCUAAGGUAUAGCCGAAGGGCGAAGCCGAUGGACAACAGGUUAAUAUUCCUGUACCAGCAAUUGUUGCGAUGGAGAGACGAAGUUGUGAAAGAUCUGCGUACUGACGGAUUAGUACGUUAAAGGGUGUAGAUAUAUUCCUGGGUUAAUAGCUCGGGGAUGUCGAACCUGACAGUACCGUGAGUCUUCGGACAAGCGGAUAUGAUCCUAAUCAUACUUCCAAGAAAAUCUUCUAAGCUUCAGACAAUUGCUGCCCGUACCGCAAACCGACACAGGUAGUCAAGGAGAAUAUCCUGAGGCGCUCGAGUGAAUCAUGGCUAAGGAACUAGGCAAAUUAGUCCUGUAACUUAGGGAUAAAGGACGCCAUGCGCAAGCAUGGCCGCAGAGAAAUGGCGGUGGCGACUGUUUAGCAAAAACAUAUGGCUUUGCAAAAUUGAAAGAUGAAGUAUAAGGCCUGACACCUGCCCGGUGCUGGAAGGUUAAGAGGGGAUGUCAUGGCGCAAGCCGGCAGCAUUGAAUCGAAGCCCCAGUAAACGGCGGCCGUAACUAUAACGGUCCUAAGGUAGCGAAAUUCCUUGUCGGGUAAGUUCCGACCUGCACGAAUGGUGUAACGAUCUCCGCACUGUCUCAGCCAUGAGCUCGGUGAAAUUGUAGUCCCGGUGAAGAUGCCGGGUACCCGCAACGGGACGGAAAGACCCCGUGCACCUUUACUAUAGCUUAACAUUGAUACUGGGUAAGUAAUGUGUAGGAUAGGUGGGAGACUUUGAAGCAGGGGCGCUAGCUUUUGUGGAGUCAACGUUGAAAUACCACCCUUUGCUUAUCUGGUGUCUAAUCCCUAACGGGAGACAGUGUUUGGUGGGUAGUUUGACUGGGGUGGUCGCCUCCAAAAGAGUAACGGAGGCUUCUAAAGGUACCCUCAGCAUGAUUGGUAACCAUGCG
rnacentral:rRNA from 1 species